UGGGGAAUUUUGGACAAUGGGCGAAAGCCUGAUCCAGCAAUGCCGCGUGUGUGAAGAAGGCCUUCGGGUUGUAAAGCACUUUUGUCCGGAAAGAAAUGGCUCUGGUUAAUACCUGGGGUCGAUGACGGUACCGGAAGAAUAAGGACCGGCUAACUACGUGCCAGCAGCCGCGGUAAUACGUAGGGUCCAAGCGUUAAUCGGAAUUACUGGGCGUAAAGCGUGCGCAGGCGGUUGUGCAAGACCGAUGUGAAAUCCCCGAGCUUAACUUGGGAAUUGCAUUGGUGACUGCACGGCUAGAGUGUGUCAGAGGGGGGUAGAAUUCCACGUGUAGCAGUGAAAUGCGUAGAGAUGUGGAGGAAUACCGAUGGCGAAGGCAGCCCCCUGGGAUAACACUGACGCUCAUGCACGAAAGCGUGGGGAGCAAACAGGAUUAGAUACCCUGGUAGUCCACGCCCUAAACGAUGUCAACUAGUUGUUGGGGAUUCAUUUCCUUAGUAACGUAGCUAACGCGUGAAAGUUGACCGCCUGGGGAGUACGGUCGCAAGAUU
rnacentral:rRNA from 1 species